rnacentral:sRNA from 1 species
ACUCGAGCCCCUUGAUGAGUCGAUCCCUCAGAUUUUUUUCUACGUGGCUCGAAUUUUCCAGAGGGGCUAGAUUCUGGAGAUCUUGAGUCGCUUCGCCUACUCUCAUCCGUGAGGCGCUUGAAUAACAUUCUCCAAGAUUACCCUAGAUUGAGUUUUUUUCCAUUCAUUUUUACUUUGUUUCUUUGGUAUGGGCUACCCCGUGAUGGCAUGGAUCUUUGAGACCUGAGAAUUUUCUUCCUUGAUGAAAAUCACAAGUAUGAUCCCUGAGGGCCUUAGACUCGUCCUCUGUUUUUCUGUCCCUUUCAUCUGAGAUCUUAGGCUGUUUUGAAUCUUUUAAUCAAAUUUAAACAUCUGUUUUGUUAUGGUACUAUGAAUGAUGAAAUGCACUGGGCUCCGAGCAGUGAAUUACGCUGCGUUUUGAUGGAUAUGCGUUUGCCUAGAAAGCAUUGUCUGACACUUUACCUAUGCAAUAUCAGCAUCAUCUCUACCUAAGAUCGGCAUUGUUUAUUGCUGCAUUGUACCAAGAUUAGGGGUUCUACCUUUGCCCUCAUCUUGAUUGCCAUUAUAGGCUGUAGCCAAAUUAAUAUGGAAGUAAAACUGGUCGGGUUGCCAAUUGAUUCCAUGGGCAUUCCGCUUACCGAACUUCCCAUA